rnacentral:rRNA from 1 species
AACGAACGCUGGCGGCAUGCCUAACACAUGCAAGUCGAACGAGACCGUCGGGUCUAGUGGCGCACGUGUGCGUAACGCGUGGGAACCUGCCCUUAGGUUCGGAAUAACUCCCCGAAAGGUGUGCUAAUACCGGAUAAUGUCUUCGGACCAAAGAUUUAUCGCCUUUGGAUGGGCCCGCGUUGGCUUAGCUAGUUGGUAGGGUAAAAGCCUACCAAGGCGACGAUGCAUAGCUGGUCUGAGAGGAUGAUCAGUCACACUGGGACUGCGACACGGCCUAGACUCCUACGGGAGGGAGCAGUGGGGAAUAUUGGACAAUGGGCGAAAGUCUGAUAAAGCAAUGCCGCGUGAGUGAUGAAGGCCGUAGGGUUGUAAAGCUCUUUUACACGGGAUGAUAAUGACAGUACCGGGAGAAUAAGCGCCGGCUAACUACGUG